rnacentral:rRNA from 1 species
AGCGGCGGACGGGUGAGUAACGCGUGGGUAACCGUGCCUCAUACAGGGGAGUAACAGUUGGAAACGGCUGCUAAUACCGCAUAAGCGCACAGUACCGCAUGGUACGGUGUGAAAAACUCCGGUGGUAUGAGAUGGACCCGCGUCUGAUUAGGUAGUUGGUGGGGUAACGGCCUACCAAGCCGACGAUCAGUAGCCGACCUGAGAGGGUGACCGGCCACAUUGGGACUGAGACACGGCCCAG